rnacentral:rRNA from 1 species
UGGCGGGCGGGUGAGUAACGCGUGGGUAACCUGCCUCAUACAGGGGGAUAACAGUUAGAAAUGACUGCUAAUACCGCAUAAGACCACAGUACCGCAUGGUACAGGGGUAAAAACUCCGGUGGUAUGAGAUGGACCCGCGUCUGAUUAGGUAGUUGGUGGGGUAACGGCCUACCAAGCCGACGAUCAGUAGCCGACCUGAGAGGGUGACCGGCCACAUUGGGACUGAGACACGGCCCAA